CGCGCAGGCGGCCAGGUAAGUCGAAUGUGAAAGCCCCCGGCUCAACGUGGGGAGGGUCAUUCGAUACUGCUUGGCUUGAAGGUAGGAGAGGGAAGCGGAAUUUCAGGUGUAGUGGUGAAAUGCGUAGAUAUCUGAAGGAACACCAGUGGCGAAGGCGGCUUUCUGGCCUAUUCUUGACGCUGAGGCGCGAAAGCUAGGGGAGCGGAACG
rnacentral:rRNA from 1 species